GAAGGUACAGCUCAGUGGUAGAGCACAUGCUUAGCCUGCACGAGGUCCUGGGUUCAAUCCCCAGUACCUCCA
rnacentral:tRNA from 1 species